GGAGGCAUAGCUCAGCUGGUAGAGCACCUGCUCCACACGCAGGGGGUCACAGGUUCGAGUCCUGUUGUCUCCACCA
rnacentral:tRNA from 1 species